rnacentral:antisense_RNA from 1 species
GUCUCGGGUGGGGUGCGGCUUCCUGCGUCUGAGAGAUGCUUCCUCUCCUGCUGUCCUCUCCCUGCCAGGCCCUUCCUGCACCGGCUGGCUUCCAGACACCCUGCGCUCCUCCCUUGCUUGCAGGAGUUGCUGCAGUGGUCCUCCCGUGCACCCCCCUUCUGCCCUCACUGCCCGUGGGGGUCCUCUUCACUGACCCCCUAACUCGGCAUCCUAGGCACCACCACCCCACACCUUUCCACAGUGCAGCUCUACUCACGCCUGUGAAGCCUCCCACAGCCUGGGAAGGAAAACCCAGACUUGCCAGACCUUGCCUCAGCCAGGCCUUUGAAGCCCGCCAGCUUACCUAACCAGGCUAGUCUGCCCCCCUCACUCUGGGUGCUCUCCAUGGGCCACUCACCAUUUCCUGAGCAGGACCAGAGCUCUCCUGCCCCAAGGCUGGGCUUCAGCUGUUGUUUCAGCUUCGAACGUCCCUUCCCACUCUCCAUCAUCCACAUUCACCUAUCCUGCCUGCCCCAGUUAAAAUCCUGUUUCUUCUAGGAAGUCCCUCAUCCCACCCGCUUACCCCAGGGAGACUGAGCUUGUUCCUUCUCCUAGGAAGACCCUCAGCCCAUGGAGUCCUGUGUGAUGUUGUGAGCGGGGAGGACAGACUGAACUGUGUGGUGCUUCACACAUAGACCUCAACAUAGAUUGGCAUUUUGAAGCUGUUGGCGGGGACUGUGGACUGCUUUUCUUCCUCUCUAGCUCAACGGCAGCUAAAGCCACUGCACACAAUGCAAGGACUGGCUCCUGUUUGGCCGUGACUGAUUGCAGCCCCUGGUGAAAUGAGAACCCUGUGGGUCGGAACAAAGUUUGGAUUAUUUAUGUUGCAAGUAACCAAAAUCUCAAGUGAAACCGGUUUAAACA